rnacentral:rRNA from 1 species
ACGGGAGGCAGCAGUAGGGAAUCUUCCACAAUGGACGAAAGUCUGAUGGAGCAACGCCGCGUGAGUGAAGAAGGGUUUCGGCUCGUAAAACUCUGUUGUUAAAGAAGAACAUAUCUGAGAGUAACUGUUCAGGUAUUGACGGUAUUUAACCAGAAAGCCAC